rnacentral:rRNA from 1 species
AUUGAACGCUGGCGGCAGGCCUAACACAUGAAAGUCGAGCGGAUGAAGGGAGCUUGCUCCUGGAUUCAGCGGCGGACGGGUGAGUAAUGCCUAGGAAUCUGCCUGGUAGUGGGGGAUAACGUCCGGAAACGGGCGCUAAUACCGCAUACGUCCUGAGGGAGAAAGUGGGGGAUCUUCGGACCUCACGCUAUCAGAUGAGCCUAGGUCGGAUUAGCUAGUUGGUGGGGUAAAGGCCUACCAAGGCGACGAUCCGUAACUGGUCUGAGAGGAUGAUCAGUCACACUGGAACUGAGACACGGUCCAGACUCCUACGGGAGGCAGCAGUGGGGAAUAUUGGACAAUGGGCGAAGGCCUGAUCCAGCCAUGCCGCGUGUGUGAAGAAGGUCUUCGGAUUGUAAAGCACUUUAAGUUGGGAGGAAGGGCAGUAAGUUAAUACCUUGCUGUUUUGACGUUACCAACAGAAUAAGCACCGGCUAACUUCGUG